UACGUAGGCAGCGAGCGUUGUUCGGAAUUACUGGGCGUAAAGAGUGUGUAGGCGGUGCUCUAAGUUCGGUGUGAAAUCUCCUGGCUCAACUGGGAGGGUGCGCCGGAAACUGGAGUGCUUGAGCGUGGGAGAGGAAAGCGGAAUUCCUGGUGUAGCGGCGAAAUGCGUAGAUAUCAGGAGGAACACCUGUGGUGUAGACGGCUUUCUGGACCAUAGCUGACGCUGAGACACGAAAGCGUGGGUAGCAAACAGG
rnacentral:rRNA from 1 species